GAAAGUGCCUAAAGACGAGCUCGCGCCUGAUUAGCUAGUUGGUGGGGUAAAGGCCUACCAAGGCGACGAUCAGUAGCUGGUUUGAGAGAAUGAUCAGCCACACUGGAACUGAGACACGGUCCAGACUCCUGCGGGAGGCAGCAGUGGGGAAUUUUCCGCAAUGGGCGAAAGCCUGACGGAGCAAUACCGCGUGAGGGAUUAAGGCCUGUGGGUUGUAAACCUCUUUUCUCAAGGAAGAAUCAAUGACGGUACUUGAGGAAUAAGCAUCGGCUAACUCCGUGCCAGCAGCCGCGGUAAUACGGGGGAUGCAAGCGUUAUCCGGAAUUAUUGGGCGUAAAGCGUCUGUAGGUUGUUUAAUAAGUCUGUUGUUAAAGACUGGGGCUUAACCCCAGGAAAGCAAUAGAAACUGUUAGGCUAGAGUAUGGUAGAGGUAGAGGGAAUUCCUAGUGUAGCGGUGAAAUGCGUAGAUAUUAGGAAGAACACCGGUGGCGAAAGCGCUCUGCUGGGCCAUAACUGACACUCAGAGACGAAAGCUAGGGUAGCAAAUGGGAUUAGAUACCCCAGUAGUCCUAGCCGUAAACGAUGGAUACUAGAUGUUGCGUAACUCGAUUAUGCAGUGUUCUAGCUAACGCGUUAAGUAUCCCGCCUGGGGAGUACACUCGCAAGGGUGAAACUCAAAGGAAUUGACGGGGGCCCGCACAAGCGGUGGAGCAUGUGGUUUAAUUUGAUGCAACGCGAAGAACCUUACCAAGGCUUGACAUGUCACGAAUCUUUUUGAGAAGAAAGAGUGCCCUCGGGAACGUGAACACAGGUGGUGCAUGGCUGUCGUCAGCUCGUGUCGUGAGAUGUUGGGUUAAGUCCCGCAACGAGCGCAACCCUUGUCUUUAGUUACCAUCAUUUAGUUGGGGACCCUAGAGAGACUGCCGGUGACAAACCGGAGGAAGGUGAGGACGACGUCAAGUCAGCAUGCCCCUUAUGCCUUGGGCUACACACGUGCUACAAUGGCUAAGACAAAGAGCAGCAAGCUUGUGAAAGUUAGCAAAUCUCGUAAACUU
rnacentral:rRNA from 1 species